UACACAUUGAGGCACAUAGGAAGAA
rnacentral:piRNA from 2 species